GUGCACGCUGGCGGUAGGCCUCACACCUGUCAGUCGCACGGCAGCACAGUAAGAGCUUGCUCUUACGGGUGGCGAGUGGCGGACGGGUGAGGAAUACAUCGGAAUCUACUUUUUCGUGGGGGAUAACGUAGGGAAACUUACGCUAAUACCGCAUACGACCUACGGGUGAAAGCAGGGGAUCUUCGGACCUUGCGCGAUUGAAUGAGCCGAUGUCGGAUUAGCUAGUUGGCGGGGUAAAGGCCCACCAAGGCGACGAUCCGUAGCUGGUCUGAGAGGAUGAUCAGCCACACUGGAACUGAGACACGGUCCAGACUCCUACGGGAGGCAGCAGUGGGGAAUAUUGGACAAUGGGCGCAAGCCUGAUCCAGCCAUACCGCGUGGGUGAAGAAGGCCUUCGGGUUGUAAAGCCCUUUUGUUGGGAAAGAAAAGCAGCAGGUUAAUACCCCGCUGUUCUGACGGUACCCAAAGAAUAAGCACCGGCUAACUUCGUG
rnacentral:rRNA from 1 species